GCUAAUGUUUUCUGUGAUGAUUAAGUGAAAGGGACUUGGUCAUUUUUAAAGCUCCACACACAUUUUUCUAUAAAAUUUGUAUGGAACUUUGUUAUUUUAAAGUUGAACCAUAUUAAUGUAACAAAUGAGGAAACUGUAGUCCAAAUAGGCUAAGGGAGUGUUAAAACAAUUAGUGACAGAGGUAGGAAUGGAACCCAGGCUCCCGUCUCCCAGGGAGGGGAGUGGAGGGAGCCCGGAGGAUUGUGGGUGAGUCUUUGAACAGGGGAACAGGUGAGUAGGUUCUGAAAGCAAGGGACAGAAGGCGGUAAGAGGUUCUUUGUGUGUGUCGGGCAAUGGGUGAGGAGAGCAGAACACAGAAUGGAGUCUUUCAUAACCUUGAGAAAAGUCUGCCUUGCAGUCAGUGAAGGCCUGUGGAACUUGAGAGGAAUUCCUUCCAGCUCUCCAACUGACCUCCAACUUUAGGAGCACAUGGCCUUCAGAGCACUUGGUGAGUCUGAGUGUUCCUUGGAUGCAUUCCCUCAGCUCUCUAGCCCUGCUCUCAGCCUUUAGCAGGCUGCUGCUUUGCCCUUGAAAAGGCUCAGUGCCUUUUCCUGGGGUAGGAAGUGGGGCUGAUGCGUGGAUCUCUCUUAGGUCUCUUGCCUUGCCCCUAGCUUUUUGCUGACUAUCCCCCUCCACUCAGUGAAGGCCUGUGGAGAAGGUAAGUCACCUUGCUCUGUGACUGGAACUUGGUAUUCUCAUCGGUCAAGUUAGCUCACAAAUAGCUAAAAGUUUAUAAAAAGUUUGAGAGAGAGUGAUGGCAGAGUCCUCCUCUUUACUGUGCCAGCAAUGAAAGAAGCCAUAGUCUCUUGUUUCCUAGGAAGUGUUUAUCACUUUCUGGAAUUUACUUUGUUUAGAUUUGUGUCCUCAGCUCUCUGAUGAGUUUGAAAGCUAUCAUUAGUGGUUUCUCUAGCUUGUUCUCAGUAUUAGUGGAGAAUGAUGAUCUCUUGUGACUUUUUUGCAUUUUAAAUGGGGGCAUAAUACUUGGGAAUAUUUUGAAAUAUGGAGCUACUGUAACCUGCUAAUUAGCCUCUUCCAAAUACGUUUGCCAUUUUUGUGGUUUUGCAAUAGAAGUUUAAUUUUAACCCGAAAUACCAAAUGACUGAC
rnacentral:lncRNA from 12 species